ensembl:lncRNA
UUUGUUUAGUUUGUAUGUUUUAAAGAAGUUGAGAGAAAGAUCUCAGCAGUGGGCGUGUACCGAGAACCCGUUAUAUAAAUAUAAACGUCAAUAUAUUGUGAUAUUCAACAUGAGGAGCAAUAAUUCUCAUCGUAGCUUCUCUAACUAGACGCGUUUUUCUGAUUACGUUCGUUCUCUUCAAAAGUUCCCUCACUUUCACUCACUUCACAAAAAUUCUGUUCAUCACAAGAAAAACACGGAGGACGGGACUCACGUGGUGGGGCUUAAAACAGGCGGAUGUGACUUGGUGUAAGUUACUGCUUAGCGUUAAAUACAGCUACACGAUAUCAUUUAUCUCCAUGAGUUAAUUAUCUGGGCUAGUAAUGAGCUUCGUCUCGUUCACCGUGUGAUUAAAGCUGCUGUACCGCGUCAUUCGGCUCGUACGUCCGCUGAGCUGUGGAACUGAAGGAAAGCCGGUGGUGAUGGCAUAAUACCAAGUUUGUGAUUGGUUGAGUAAAUGUAACUUAAGCUCCGCCCCUUGCUGACCCAGAGCCUUCAGGAUGUGAGACGCGAUACAGCUGUUGUGUGAUGUGUUUUACAGAAUAUCCGAUCAUCAGAUAAACCUGCGAUCUUCAUGAUGAGGGUUCUGCUCACGUGUGUAAGCCGAGAACGAUCGCCUCCGAAUGCCUCCGAAUGCCUCCGAAUGCCUCCGAAUGCCUCCGAAUGCCUCCGAAUGCCUCCGAAUGUCUCCUGUUCUGUAGCUUAAAAUUCUUAUUUUUGUAAAUGUUUGUGUUUAUUUAAGAGCUGUUGUGUGACUGUAAAGGGCUUCAGCGGAUCUGUGCACGACUCUGUGGCUUUUACACAAUUUCAGAUAUUAUUUCAGAUUGUAAUGCAUUUGUACAGAGCAAUAAAAUAAAAUGUAAAUACUAUUAUUAUUAUUAUUAUUAUUAUUAUUAUUAUUAUUAUGUGUUUUGAUAUCAAUGUCUAUAAUUGUGUGACUAUUUAAGAGUUUUCACUUUAACUCAGUUGUAAAUGUCUUAAGAAAAAGAAACCUUCAUGGACCAUCACCAAGUCAAAUAUCAACAUAUUACUUCACUGUAUUAUUAUAUUAUAUGAUAUUAUAUUAUAUGAUAUUAUAC